rnacentral:rRNA from 1 species
UAGGGAAUCUUCGGUAAUGGACGAAAGUCUGACCGAGCAACGCCGUGUGAGUGAAGAAGGUUUUCGGAUCGUAAAACUCUGUUGUUUGAGAAGAACAAGGACGUUAGUAACUGAACGUCCCCUGACGGUAUCUAACCAGAAAGCCACGGCUAACUACGUGCCAGCAGCCGCGGUAAUACGUAGGUGGCAAACGUUGUCCGGAUUUAUUGGGCGUAAAGCGAGCGCAGGCGGUUUCUUAAGUCUGAUGUGAAAGCCCCCGGCUCAACCGGGGAGGGUCAUUGGAAACUGGGAGGCUUGAGUGCAGAAGGGGAGAGUGGAAUUCCAUGUGUAGCGGUGAAAUGCGUAGAUAUAGGGAGGAACACCAGUGGCGAAGGCGGCUCGCUGGUCUGUAACUGACGCUGAGGCUCGAAAGCGUGGGGAGCAAACAGG